rnacentral:rRNA from 1 species
AACGAACGCUGGCGGCAUGCCUAACACAUGCAAGUCGAACGAGACCUUCGGGUCUGGUGGCGCACGGGUGCGUAACGCGUGGGAACCUGCCCUUAGGUUCGGAAUAACUCCCCGAAAGGGGUGCUAAUACCGGGUAAUGUCUUCGGACCAAAGAUUUAUCGCCUUUGGAUGGGCCCGCGUUGGAUUAGCUAGUUGGUAGGGUAAAAGCCUACCAAGGCGACGAUCCAUAGCUGGUCUGAGAGGAUGAUCAGCCACACUGGGACUGAGACACGGCCCAGACUCCUACGGGAGGCAGCAGUGGGGAAUAUUGGACAAUGGGCGAAAGCCUGAUCCAGCAAUGCCGCGUGAGUGAUGAAGGCCUUAGGGUUGUAAAGCUCUUUUACCCGGGAUGAUAAUGACAGUACCGGGAGAAUAAGCUCCGGCUAACUCCGUG